AUCGCUUACCUACCUCCCUCUGCAGGAACCCGGCGAUAUGGCUGCCGCUGUGCCCCGCGCCGCAUUUCUCUCCCCGCUGCUUCCCCUUCUCCUGGGCUUCCUGCUCCUCUCCGCUCCGCAUGGCGGCAGCGGCCUGCACACCAAGGGCGCCCUUCCCCUGGAUACGGUCACUUUCUACAAGAAUUAGGGAUCCUGGCCUGAGUAAAUGGACGGUUGGAAAUGGUGGCUGAAUGCAACACCGCAGUCCCAGUCCCCUCCUCUUGCACCUGUCUUCACCCACGAGCAGCUUUUAACUUCCUCUAGGAGAUGGGCAAGCUUAGUGUUGCGAGAGAGCCAGUCAUUUCAUUUUCAGGUUUUGUACUCAUUGUGGGGAAGUGAAACCAAGAAGUAGUUGUCUCCAGUGGUUGAAGUCUCCUAUUUUCAAGCGUUCCCUGUCGUGGAUUUGGCACUUGCAGCUCAUUCAAGGCAAAGUUUCAAGAAUUUAAAAGUGUAGGCCGGGCUUAGUGGCUCACGCCUGUAAUCCCAGCACUUUGGGAGGCUGAGGCGGGUAGAUCACCUGAGGUCAGGAGUUUGAGACCAGCCUGACCAACAAGGUGAAACCCCGUCCCUACUAAAAAUACAAAAAUUAGCUGGGCGUGGUGGUGGACACCUGUAGUCCCAGCUCCUCGGGAGGCUUAGACAGGAGAAUUGCUUGAACCCAGGAGGCGGAGGUUGCGGUGAGCCAAGAUCACGCCACUGCACUCCAGCCUGGGCGACAGAGCAAAUACUCCGUCUCAAAAAAAAAAAAAAAAGUGUGGGCUGGGUGCGGUGGCUCAUGCUUGUAAUCCCGGCACUUUGGGAGGCUGAGGCAGGUAGAUCACCUGAGGUCAGGAGUUGGAGACCAGCCUGGCCAACAUGGUGAAACCCUGUCUCUACU
rnacentral:lncRNA from 1 species